rnacentral:rRNA from 1 species
GAUGAACGCUGGCGGCGUGCCUAACACAUGCAAGUCGAGCGAGGGUUUGCUCAGUAUUGAGUAUUCUAAGACUAGAAUGUUCAAUUCUGAGCAAAACCAAGCGGCGGACGGGUGAGUAACGCGUGGGUAACCUGCCCUAUACACAUGGAUAACAUACUGAAAAGUUUACUAAUACAUGAUAAUAUAUAUUUGCGGCAUCGCAGAUAUAUCAAAGUGUUAGCGGUAUAAGAUGGAUCCGCGUCCGAUUAGCUAGUUGGUGAGGUAAAGGCCCACCAAGGCGACGAUCGGUAGCCGGCCUGAGAGGGUGAACGGCCACAUUGGGACUGAGACACGGCCCAAACUCCUACGGGAGGCAGCAGUGGGGAAUAUUGGACAAUGGGGGAAACCCUGAUCCAGCGACGCCGCGUGAGUGAAGAAGUAUUUCGGUAUGUAAAGCUCUAUCAGCAGGGAAGAAAAUGACGGUACCUGACUAAGAAGCCCCGGCUAACUACGUGCCAGCAGCCGCGGUAAUACGUAGGGGGCAAGCGUUAUCCGGAUUUACUGGGUGUAAAGGGAGCGCAGACGGCAAUGCAAGUCUGAAGUGAAAGGCGUGGGCUCAACCCAUGAACUGCUUUGGAAACUGUAUAGCUUGAGUGUCGGAGGGGUAAGCGGAAUUCCUAGUGUAGCGGUGAAAUGCGUAGAUAUUAGGAGGAACACCGGAGGCGAAGGCGGCUUACUGGACGACAACUGACGUUGAGGCUCGAAGGCGUGGGGGAGCAAACAGG